rnacentral:ncRNA from 2 species
CUCAAAGAUAGAGGCCGCGAUAAAAAAGAGUAGGCUAUGGGAGAUAAAGUGGUAUCAAUGAUCAUAGUUCGAAAGGAUUUAUCGCCGAAAUAUAUGAAUGUCCAUAUUGUUCAUAUAUUGGGACUGCAUUGAAUAAAUGUAGUACUGUCGUAAGGGUUACUUAUGGAGAGCUAUUGGGAGA